rnacentral:guide_RNA from 1 species
AUAUAGAACUAGGCAGUCACGGAUUUGUAUAAUGAUGUAGAAUGAUAUUAA